rnacentral:tRNA from 2 species
GGCCCGUUCGUCAAGUGGUUAAGACACCGCCCUUUCACGGCGGGUUCGCGAGUUCGAAUCUCGCACGGGUCACCA